AAAGUGGAUAUAGCAUAAAUUAUCCUCUAAUUAUACACCAGUGUCGCCUCAAUUAUCCUCUUAUCAAAAAUGGUAGCCCUAAAUGCAGCAUUUAGUUUCAAUUUUCUCCCUUUCUGUAACAAGAACUGCGUACCUUGCUAUUAUUACCAGGGAUGUUAUUUACUUUGCCGGAUUUAAGAGUGCACAACCGGCGUAGAUCACCAUUCUCCAUGGUGGACUGAACUUAGUAGACAGAAAGGCAGCUGGUAGCUCUGAAACACUUGAUCCUGUGGAUUUGAUCUUAACCAAGAAAUUAAAUAUUUACAUCAGAAGAUUCGUGCCAGGAGAUUCAGCGGUGACCCAUCCGGAGAGCCUGCCAUCUACAUGCAUCAGAAGCUGUUUUGUUAAUAGAAAUACAGGGCGGAUUGCAUGAUCCAAGGCAUGGAGCAGCUUGCCGUUUCCUCUCAUUACAAGGCCGCCUUACCAGCGAGGAGGAAUAUGCAUGAAUACAUUAAAAGGUAAUGAGGAAGCUGUCAGGAGAGGGUUGUUCAGGGCAGUGCUCUGCAUCAGAGGCAUUGGAGAGCUUUCAGACUAUUACAUGAUGGAUUUGUCAUCUCAGCAUGAGAAGGAUAAAGGGGUGGAGUUCAACAACGUUACUAACGGCAACUGUUGCAAGGUCUUACUUGAUGAUGAUGAUGUGGUUGGCUGGUGGUAACCAACACAAAUGAACUAGAUAAAGCAGCACCUCAACCUGUAUUAUUUUUUUUUUGUCUUUAUCUGCUCAAAUAAAUGCACAACAGGCUUUGUCAAGGAUUGUGAGUGUGUGUGUGUGUUACAAUGUCUAUCAAUUUUAAGAUUUUUUUCUUGAAGAACAAUACAACAUCAAUCGUAUUCACACCUCAACCGUAUUCCCUACGCAGCAACACAACCACGUGACUAUUGAUGAAGGCGAUGUGGAUUCGCAUAAUGGAAUGUCAUGGCAACAACACCUGGCAACAGUUUAUCCAAGUCCUCAUACCCAACCCCUCCCCCAAUCUAAAGCACUGGAACAUUAUUUCUGUGAGACAGAAAGCCCUAUGAACAAAUAAUGGGUGAGCGCCAGUUUAAAUAAAGUAUAGUUUAUGACUUGUGGUCA